CCCCGCGCCUGUGGAGGUGGAGGAGCGGCCCUCGCUGCCGCCCCGCCCCGCCCCGGCCCCUGCAUUGCGGAGACGCCGAGGCUCCGGGACACCCAGCCCGCGGGCCCGGCCCGAGUCCGGCCCUGCCCUGCUCCGGCUGUGGAUUUUUUAUCGUUUGAAACGCCUGCGCUCCAACUCAGUUCAAAGAGGAAAGUUAACAGUGUCGCUUGGGGUGCUCAUUCCCAUAAGGUACCUCAGCAAUGAUCUAAAUGCAAAAAAAACCCCAAAGCAAAUAAACAUUGAAAGGAGGAUCGCUUCUGCCUUGAAUCUUGGAUCCUGACAAAGGAGCUGCAAGAAGGAUGUGAAGCACAUUAUAAUCAAGGAGCUGAUGGGUGGAAAAGGAAGUGUUUCAGAUGAUUGUGACACCUAUAAACAUCCAUUGUAUGAAGCAACUCCUUGUCAUUGCUUGGUAUUUCUGAUUUUUGAAGCGUCUGCAGAUGCUUGCGCAGGCUGGUGUGUUGCCAUGGAUACCACGGUGUGCCGAGGCUUUUAGCAAACCAACUGAUCUGUUUGUGUACCUCCAGACUGAAAAGAAAGGAAAAAAUCCCAUCAUUUGUGUGGCUGCUAGCAAAGGGAGCCUGACAGUGAAGUGAAAUGACUCUGCAUAAUGGUUUUCAGAACCUCCUCCUCUUGGAAAUGAUGGGGUAGGAAAGAGAUGGAAUGUAAUGAAGAGAAGGAGUGAGGAGAGCUGUCAAGUGUUUAGCAAAACAGCUCAAGGCAAGGUCCUUGCAUGAUAACGUCAGCUGUAUGGUCAAGAAAAAUCAAUAUGAGGUUUGAAUAAUUCAGUUUCCUAAUGGCCUGGCACCUUGGGUUUCUGAAGACAGGAAGAACAACAAGGAUGAAAGGCAAAAAGGAGUGAUCAACAGACAAUGUAACACAGCAGAAUAAUUUUCUUUGAGUGAUAUCCUGGGACCAAGCAACAGGUGUGCAUUAUGAAACUAAUAUUUAGCUGGUGUUCAAGCAAUGCCUUUAUCUGGGCACAACUCCACUGCUGAGUGAGAGGCAAAACAGGUUUAGAAGUGGCAGGCAAGUGAAUACACAGAAAAUCAAGUAAAAAACCUGGGCAGUGUUCCAAACUUUGACUCUAUUCUUGGUGUUAGAACAACCCCAUAAACUGCACACGUACAUGCCAGUACAAGUCCCUAUACAGCAACCCCAUAAACUGCACACACAGAUGGCACAAGUCCCUGUGAGCUGAAUUUCCACGCAUUAAUGCCGUAUCUUAUUAGGCAGCAACACAAAAUCGUCCCCCUUGAUUACAAGUUUUGGGGGUUUGCCCUGCUGUUCUAAAGGGAUCACAUCACCAUGUAUUUCACCAAGAGUUUUCCUUGCUUUUGAGUUUAGGGGUCAAAAAGCACUAACACUUUCACAGGAGCGGUGUGUUCCUCAUUACUUACAUAAAUGCUUAAGCUGCUAAUAAGAAAUGGUGACAAUGUGAAAUCUCCCUUGGUGCACGUUUUCCCAGUAGCACUGUGUCACCAUAUAUGAACUAGAAAUCCAUCACACAAUAUUUUAUAGUGAACUCCUCUCCUCUUAACUAAUCAGGUUUUGUUCGUGUCAUUUCUGUGUCUUAAAAAUGGGAAAAAAGAGUUGAUUCUUUCUAUGGCCAGCUAUGGUGUCUCCUCAAGCGCAAACACCAAGUGCAAACUGCACUGCGAACACCAAGAGCGGUCUUUGGGGACAAGAUUAAAAGAAAACCAAAACUGCAAUCCUCGCCCUUCCCACAGGUCCCCUUGGUCUGGCACCAAACUGGAGGUGUAGGCAGGAACUUGGUUGGUUUUGAGCCAUGGACCAACACAACCAGUUACUCCAAUGAAGCUCUUAAGCACAUUCCAGCCUCUCCUUGAGACCUUGCUCUGGGGAUGGCCCAGCACUGUCCUGCUGAUGGCUCUUAUCUCUGUUGCCUGUUGAUGCCUCACCCUGAAGGCAGCUGAACCUCAAGAAAAUCACUCCCCAGGCUACCUCUCCGUACAAGCCACAGUCACCACAAAGCUGAAGUAUGAGUCCCACUAGAUUCUGCUGGAGGUUCAGAGGAACCUUCUCUUGCGUGCAGAUGAACUGUUACUAAAUUCAGCUGUUGAGCUGAGCACUCACCUCCAGACUAUUAAUUGACGUUGCUGGGAGCACAGCACAGUGUCUUCCACGUAGCUGAACCAAAGAUGUGUCCUGGGCAAUUGGUGUCACUCAUUUUCGUGAGGCUGCAAAAAUGCAAUUCCAGUUUGUGAAGUUAUAAAUUAAGUCCCUUACAAACUCAGGGAAGAGCUGAAAGGUGUUGCUGCUGUGGACACAGAUCAAUAAAAAUAUAUAGCAGCUAUGGCUAGUUCUGCAUUCACACUGAUACUGCAUUGCGUAACUUGACUCCAGCAGCUCAGACCUACCUCUGACAACCACAGUUUUCCCUUACAGAACCCCCCAAGGAACUCCUCUCCUAUCCUGUUUCCCUCUUUCAAGGACCUUCAUUUAGCAAUUUUUCCCCAAGCACACAAGUUCCUUAAAAUCAGUGUCUCUGGCCACAGCUUGCAAACAAGCCAGCUCCAGCAAAAUGCAAGCUGUUAGCAACCAGAGCUGCGUGAGUUAAAGCUCACAGUUGUGGUCACUAAAACCUCAGGAUUUGGGAUGUGGAAUAUUCCUGCACAUACACUGAUGAGCAUCCUUUGGGUCUUGUCAUAUUUGAAAUGCUUCGGUGCCCACUCUGCCAUCAUUUGGGCUCUUAUGAGUCUGGUAGCUAAGCAACAGAUGGGCAGUCCAAAUGAUGUGGCAAGGGCAAGCUAUCGUGCAGAAAUGUGGCAAUUCAGAAGGAAAGUAAUACACUGAAGCUUGGGAGAACCUCUGCGGCCCUCAGUGUGCUUCAGAGCACCAAAAGAACUCAGAACCUGCCAGUGAGGCUAGACAACAGAUUUACACUCAUCAUGACUGAGAAACAAACCUAGAAAAAUUACCUGCGUGGCAAGGAAAUUCAUGGCCAUUUGCUGCAAAAAGAAAUGUGGACGAGCAUCAACGAGAUUAAAAAAAUGUAUCUGGAUGAGCACAUCGGGGUUGCACAGAAACUUGGUGGCAGAUGCAGAAACAGAGAGGAUUCUGAUCUGACACCAUAUUUCACUGCUUUCUAGAGCUUGGUUUUGUUCCUUUCACCUUCUCAGGCAUUAAUUUCAUUGUUAAUUCUUGCUGUGGAAAUCACAACAUCUUCCCAUUAUAGGAGAAAAGCUAAAGCUGGAGUUUUAAGCCCACGUUUAGGAGCUGGUGUUAUCAUCAACGAUGGGGCAGCUCUCCCUGCUUUCAGUCAGGAUUUACACAGGAUCUACCAGUGACCCUACCCUCAGGCAAUUUAUGCCUAGCAGGAGGCACCUUCCUCGGAACAGAGGCAGCUGAUCUGCACAACUCACUAGCAGAGGACACUGUGAAGGUGACAAACUUACAUGGACUAAAAAAAGGCAGAGACAAAUUUGUGGGCACUGGCACCUGCUGAAGGCACAGGGUCAGAGCACAGGGUCACUCUCUGAGCCUGGAGUGCCACGAGCAGAACCUCUAAGCAAACUGAAGAAAGUUGUAUCUUGAUGUGGGAACCUACUAAAUGUUUGCUAGUCGGUGAACUCCACAGAUUUUAAACCCUUCCAGGGCUAGUAACACCAGUGAUUGCCUGAAACCAGCCUCUGACCUGCUGGAUUAGCUUCACGUUUGGGACUCCUCUAGAAAGUGCAUUGUGAUAAUGUCUGGUGAGAACGCCUGCUCAGGAGAAAGGGAAAACAAGUGACAACCAGGGCCGGGAGAAGACUGAAAUGUAAGACACAAGAUUUGGUAAAAUGUAAGCUGUGAGUGGGAGAGAUUUUCUUCAUUCUCCACAUGUAUGGAUUAAACAAAUACAACAUCUUUGCUGGUUAUUUAGAGAAACUAGCACACAGAGACAGAGAGCGGGAAGCUCAGUCUGUGAGGAGUCAAAGCAGCAAUGCCAGGUGUUCACAGAGCAACCACCUCUCUUGCUGCCAGCUUUGAAGAAAACCCUCCAGUCAUGGCCAGCUCCCGCGCUUUGAUUCACACAGCAGAGUAUCCUCAGAGCACAAAAUCUGGGCUGCCCUGGGACCACACUGACCUGGUGCUCUGCUCCUGUCACCCAGGGGAACUCAGGCUGCAGGCUCAGCAUGCUCUGGCCAAAGAGCCAGAGUCCCUGUCCUCCUAUCCCUCUUCUCCCUGGGUUCAUGCAUGCUUCAUUCUGGUCCAAGAGCUUCCCUCUGAGCUUUUCCUAGGGAUCAGCGCCGUGCAGUGACAGCGGGCAGAACCCCCCCUGCCAGCCGGACCCCCCAAACCUUCACCCCUCCUCUUCCUCCUCUCCAUCAAUGUCCAGCCUCCACACCCACCUCUCCACAGCUUUCAACAGUGAAGUGAGAGAGCUCCUAGUUUUUCUUGUAGAACUGAGUUGGGGAUCAUUUCUAUGACAUUAAUUGCAUUAUUAAACAUGCAAGGUCUAAACCACAUUUAAUAACACCCUUGUUCCAGUUAGUCUUCCACUAUCAGCUCAACCCUCAAAAUAUUUCAACUCUAGCUGUGAGAUUUAUAUGGGCUAAACAAUAAUUAGAAAGUUUAAUAAGCACCCAGAGAAGCUUCCUGAGCUCUUCUGCAUUUCUUCAUUCGGGUCAGAUAAAAUCUGUUGUUCUGUCUUCUAAAAGGAGUUUGCUAUUUCCUAAAACUCAGUAAACAGUUGGGAACAUUAAAGUGGGUUAAAAUGCUAACUAUAUUGGGGAGGAAAAAACACUUUCCAAAGAGCACUUUUCGGGUUUGGUUUUUUUUUUUUUUUUGUUCCAAAGAGGCUUUGAGAAGUGUUAAAGGGUUUAGAGAAGUCUUUUUACAAAAGCCACAUUUAAAAACGUGGUGGGGGAAAAAAAAGUCCUCGAGGAGAUGGAGCUUGCAGCUCUGCACCCCCAAAGGAACGAUGCUCACAGUGGGGUGACGCAGGGCUCUGAGCUGCAUCUUCUGCAGAUUCAGUGCCUGACAUCCUGCACAGGACAGGAAUUAGACUGUCACAUUAAGAACAUACAGAUAUCCACCCUUUGGAGUCCUGUUGAACUUCACAGAAAACCAACCACGCAAACCUCCCCACACCCCAAUGAACAAAUAUUUCAAUGCUUCGGUUUAAUGGAACAAUCUUGCACUAGAACAAACAAGAAAAUUACGCUUAUGCACACAGACUUUAGCAUUUGUUUGCUAUAGAUAAACCGCAGUGCAGCUGGAAGAUUCCCUAAGCCAUAUUUCUGGGUGACAGGAAAGCAUAACCUUGCAGAGGAAAGCAAGGACAGCUCCUGGGUUGUGAGAAUAACAUCAGGGAAAAGGAUCCACACCACGCUACUAAGAGAGAGAAGGCAUCUCAGGAGGGGACAAAACAGCUGUAAAAAUCUGCUUCUCCAGCUUCCAUAGCAGGCAGGAACUGAAGUUUCACCACAUUUAGGAGACCCAUAAACAAGGAUAUCUGGAGCAUUAGGACACCAGUGAAGACAGAGUAGUUGAGAGGUUUGUGAAGGUUCAGGAAGUAUUCACAUUGAAGGCUGCUACAAAGUUGUUAAUUGCAUGUUGUAAGACAUUCAUACCUAUGGCUCUUCAUUUGGAUCCAUCACUUUAAAUUGUAGACGUAGCUACAGGCGAGCAAGUGAAGGAAAUGUGAAACAGUAACAACAGAUUUUUAGAAGUAAAUAUUUCAAGCAAAAUUCCAAAUAGCCUGUGCUCAGUAUAUUUCUUUUUUUUGUGUAUCUGUAUCAUGCUUUGAGGGUGAAGCUAUUCCAGCAGCUCAAUGCAGAAUUCGUCUGGAAAAUGCUGGAGGGAAUUCUUAGACUGGAAGUACUUGUUUUCCUCAUCCUCCUUAGCUCCUGUUAUUUGUCUGCAUAAUUUCAUCUUUAGCUAUCUUUAAAGUAUUAAUGUGCCCCUUAUAUCUUCUAUCUCCAUUUAAAUAGCUGAAAUUCCAAGCAAUAGCUAUAUUAAAAAAAUACUACUUUCUUGCCUGAAUAAAUAAGGAAAGCUGCAGAUCUUCAGCAACUGCUCAGUGUAUUAUAGGUGGUAUUUUUGUUUGGAUGGUUUGAGGCAUUAUGGGAUUAUUGAGUUAGGAAUUAUUUUUUGGUGUUGUUAUUUCGGGGUUUUUCCUGAUGUUUUUAUUUUUGUCGUUUGAUUUGUUUGUUAUUUUGGUGGGUUUACUAGUUUUAUUUUUGGGAACGUGGGUAUUGAUAUUGUGGAUUUUUUAGGUAGCUUUUUUGGGGUAGUGAUGCUUAUUUUUUAGUAGUCUAGAAUUUUUUCAUGUUGUUAACUAGUUUGGCUAAUUUUAUAGAAUAUUGGUUAUUAUUUUUUCAGUAAGUGUAGAGAUAGAGAUUUUUUUAGUCAUGUUUAGGGUCAGUUGUACAGUUUUGAGUUUGGAAGUUGGUUUGAUUUAUCUUUUUUACUAUUUUUUAUGAUUUGUCAUGUGGGGUUCUCUAUGGUCGUUUUUCAUUUUUGUUUCAUUUUUAGGAGAGGAGUUGUUAGCGAAAAGAGUGCAGUGGGAUUUGUUUGCUGGCAUUUGGUUGUAUGGUGGAGUUUUUGAGUUUGCGUUUGUUUUAAGGUUUUUGUUGAGAUUACAGUUUUGAAUUCUUGGCUAAUUUGUGAUUGUUUUAAAGAUUUUAGGGAGAAUUCAAUUUUUCAUAAGGGAGCACUGUAUGAAGAGGGUAAUUUAUUUGUUUUAUGUGAUAUUGGUGGCAACAAAGAAGUUAACAAAUGACAUCCAUGUUCACUGUAUGUUAGAAAAGCCUCUGUAUUUUCUGCUACAUUAAAAAAACUGAACGGAGAAAGCUGUAAACAUCCUGGGGCUUCAGAGGUAACAGUAAAACAAAGUAGUCUUUUGAUUUUGUAACUCUCCAAACUUCACUGUUUAGUAACAGAGAAAUCCAAAAUAAAGCAAACAGACAAAAACCCCAAAACAAAUCC